rnacentral:rRNA from 1 species
UCGAACGAGGACCCGGUGCUUGCACCGGUGAGCCGAGUGGCGGACGGGUGAGUAACACGUGACCAACCUACCUUCGGGAGGGGGACAACCUGGGGAAACCCGGACUAAUACCGCAUAUCGUCCACGGGCCGCAUGACCUGUGGAUAAAAGGGAGCCUCUGCUUGCACGCUCUCGCCCGAAGAGGGGGUCGCGGCGUAUCAGCUAGUUGGUGGGGUAAUGGCCUACCAAGGCAUCGACGCGUAGCGGGUCUGAGAGGACGACCCGUCACAUUGGGACUGAGAUACGGCCCAGACUCCUACGGGAGGCAGCAGUGGGGAAUAUUGCGCAAUGGCCGAAAGGUUGACGCAGCGACGCCGCGUGUGGGAGGACGCCCUUCGGGGUGUAAACCACUGUCAGGGGGGAAGAACUUCGUAGGCGUGAACAGCGCUUGCGGUUGACGGUACCCCCAGAGGAAGCGCCGGCUAACUCCGUGCCAGCAGCCGCGGUAAGACGGAGGGCGCAAGCGUUGUUCGGAAUUACUGGGCGUAAAGGGCAGGUAGGUGGUCUGUUAAGUCUUCUGUGAAAAUCCGGGGCUCAACCCCGCGAAAUGCAGG